ensembl:lncRNA
GGGAUUCAGUCUGUAUCUGGGGGACGAGACGGACGAACAGCAAAACACCCAUGGAAACAAAGGUGUUUAUAUGGUUGCAACCAAGCAAGCUAGAAACAUACAGGGCUCACAACAAAACGGUCGAGAAAACAAUUUUUACAGGGCUCACAACAAAAUGGUUGAGCAAACACAUUUGUACAGAGACUAUCAACAUCAAGAAUACCACGAAGACAAAGUUCACCCAAGGGUACUUUCAAUUUCAAAAGCAACACGGCCGAGUCGGCGUCUGUUUUGCAGUCUUCUUUUUUCUUUCAGUUCACGCUAUUCCUGAAAAGCUUGCCCAAAGUUUACUCGUGUCUGGCCUCUCUGUCGGUCAGUCUCCCUUUUCUCUUCUUCUGUUCCUCCGACAUUGGGUUUCUCUGUCUCUUUUUAGUCGGCUGAUCUAUGAUGAAUAUAACAAUCCCUUAGUUGUUUGUGUUUAUAUCGAGCCGGUUCCCUGUUUCGGGGUCUGUGCCGUAAAGCACCAACGCCCGGAGUUCAGAACUUUCAACGCGUGACGCUUAGCGACGAUAGCCAAUCAGCGUGGAGCUUGACCCGACGUCACUGACAGAGAGUAGUGACCCUUGCACAGAAGGAUACGGCCGACAUCUUUCUUUAUUCUGGGUGGAAAUAGUAACAUAGUUACGCCAUUAAAUGCGUUUAUGGAAACAUUUUUAGCGAGAAAUGUGCAUUUUACUUUCAUAAUGUUCGCUCGGUAAAUGUGAAGGAUGUUUGGUUCGAUAGUUAUGACGAAGAGUGAACGCUCCGUUCACUUGCAUGGAGAGCGUCUCUGGUUGCUAGACUAUUUCUCUGCUGAUCAACACUACGAAUGCUGGAAACACACCAGACACACCAUGUGAAGUUAUUUAACCCGAUUAUCGUUAUUUAUGAGUCUUUAGCCCAAGUGAAGGAGUUCAAGUACCUCGGGGUCUUGUUCGCGAGUGAGGGUACUAUGGAGCGUGAGAUUGGCCGGAGAAUCGGAGCAGCGGGGCG